rnacentral:lncRNA from 10 species
CAGGAUUUCAGUUUCAGAGCCACCUCUGGGUCUGCACCUCCCCUGUGGGGCCUACUGUUUGGCCUUGUGCAGUGCUUUGGAUCUCUGCUUUCCAGAUCAGAUUACAACAAUCCAUUUAACUACUAUGAAACGGUUCUGGAGUGACACUGUUGUGAAGAGGAAAUUCCAGCGGAGCUACUGGAGCAAGCCUUUGAUCUGCCAUAUUGAACUCCUCCAGCUGUGCGGAUUCACUGCACUAUAAGAAAAACAUUUCUACGACCACUUUAAAGCUAAACUCAUUUCAGGCUGUACAAGCAUGGCAACCGUAUCUGCUCAGCUCCUG